UAAAGCGCGCGUAGGUGGUUUGUUAAGUUGGAUGUGAAAUCCCCGGGCUCAACCUGGGAACUGCAUUCAAAACUGACUGACUAGAGUAUGGUAGAGGGUGGUGGAAUUUCCUGUGUAGCGGUGAAAUGCGUAGAUAUAGGAAGGAACACCAGUGGCGAAGGCGACCACCUGGACUAAUACUGACACUGAGGUGCGAAAGCGUGGGGAGCAAACAGGAUUAGAUACCCAGU
rnacentral:rRNA from 1 species